AUUGAACGCUGGCGGCAGGCCUAACACAUGCAAGUCGAACGAGUGGCGGACGGGUGAGUAAUGUCUGGGAACCUGGCUUAUGGAGGGGGAUAACUACUGGAACCUGUAGCUAAUACCGCGUACCAUAGGAUGAGCCCAGGUGGGAUUAGCUAGUUGGUGGGGUAAAGGCUCACCAAGGCGACGAUCCCUAGCUGGUCUGAGAGGAUGACCAGCCACACUGGAACUGAGACACGGCCCAGACUCCUACGGGAGGCAGCAGUGGGGAAUAUUGCGCAAUGGGCGAAAGCCUGACCCAGCCAUGCCGCGUGAGUGAAGAAGGCCUUCGGAUUGUAAAGUUCUUUAAGUAGGGAGGCGUUACCUACAGAAGAAGCACCGGCUAACUCCGUGCCAGCAGCCGCGGUAAUAC
rnacentral:rRNA from 1 species